rnacentral:tRNA from 1 species
GGAGAGGUGCUCGAGUGGUUGAAGAGGCACGCCUGGAAAGUGUGUAUCCGCUGGAAGGCGGAUCAAGGGUUCGAAUCCCUUCCUCUCCG